rnacentral:rRNA from 1 species
CCUACGGGAGGCAGCAGUGAGGAAUAUUGGUCAAUGGACGAGAGUCUGAACCAGCCAAGUAGCGUGAAGGAUGACUGCCCUCUGGGUUGUAAACUUCUUUUAUAUGGGAAUAAAAUGUUCCACGUGUGGGAUUUUGUAUGUACCAUAUGAAUAAGGAUCGGCUAACUCCGUGCCAGCAGCCGCGGUAAUACGGAGGAUCCGAGCGUUAUCCGGCUUUAUUGGGUUUAAAGGGAGCGUAGGUGGAUUGUUAAGUCAGUUGUGAAAGUUUGCGGCUCAACCGUAAAAUUGCAGUUGAAACUGGCAGUCGUGAGUACAGUAGAGGUGGGCGGAAUUCGUGGUGUAGCGGUGAAAUGCUUAGAUAUCACGAAGAACUCUGAUUGCGAAGGCAGCUCACUGGACUGCAACUGACACUGAGGCUCGAAAGUGUGGGUAUCAAACAGGAUUAGAUACCCUUGUAGUC